ensembl:ncRNA F16F9.6 ncRNA
UAUCCAUUUCUCCUUCUGAAGUAGGUCAGUGCCAUUGGAAUGCUCUCUCCUCCCCAAUCAGAGUGUGAUUUGGGAAAAGGCGCGGUAAAAAAUAGCGGUGGAAAAUGAAGAGAUGAUAAAAAC